UUUGAUAUUUUCAAAUUUCUUUUUCUUUGAAAGAGAUGUUUUCAAAUUUCAAUUAGUGAUAUUAUGCUUUACUCGAUUUCUGAUAUACCAAAAACGGGUUGAAUUAAAGAAAAAUGUGCAUAUGUUCAUAUUGUAUAUGUAAUAAUGUAUUGGUAUUGAACACUAGAUAAAUUGAUCAUGUAAGUUUGCUUAUUAUAUUGUAAUCUUCAUGCAAUUGUGCUUAUUGUCUAUGCAUUGGCAAGGACAGGUGUUUAUAGGAAUUUAUUUAACUUGCUGGCAAUUGGCCCGCUUCUACACUUUCUUACAGUGUAUGGGUCUUUCUGUUAUCCAAAAAUGCAAUCCUAAUGCUACACUGCUUGCACAUGAAAUCACUAUGCGUCGCAUUGGAAAAGGGAACUUUAUAGUAAUAACGUAUCUGGGAUAAUCCUAUAGGAGGUGGGGAAUUUGACGGAAUUGGUGACCUUGGUGAGGACGUCAAGAAUUUGAGUGGGUGGGACUUGGGAAUGUGAAGCCCGUCCCUUAUUUGAUGUGAGUUGGAUGGAACAAUUCCAGUGUCCUUAACUGUUAUCGACACACUACAAGUUCUGUGAGUGUUGCUGAUAGAAUUCUUCUCCUCAUUGGUUGUCUAAGUUUGGGGACAAGAACAGUUCUAAUGGAGUUGGAUGUUAUAUCAUGUGUUGUGUAAGGAUCUUUCAAAUAAUCAUCUAACAGGAGAUGUUCCAGUUAAUGGUUCCUUUUCGCUAUUCACUCAUACCAGGUUUCUCUUAUGUUAUAUCACUUUGUUCCCACCCUCACUCACAACUCCCGACCCACCACCUUCUUGUUCCCAUUUUUCAUAUUUAAGAUUGUCAUGCCAGUCUCUUGAUUUGCUACAUCUUUUGUUGUUUUACAGUUUUGCUUAUAAUCGACUCAAUAAUCCUACACCUGUUCCACCAUCUCCUAUCCCACCUACACAUCCAGCUCAAUCAGGUAUUACUUCCACUGAUGUUAUUGCUGGAGGAGUUGCUGCUAGUGCUACCCUGCUGUUUACAGCUCCUGCAAUUUGAUUCUUAGUUGUACGUAGCAAGAAGUUGGGAAAGAUUGCUAUUGGAUAUUAGAGUUAUAAGUGGGAGCGUGAAGAUACACAUGCAACUAGUUUGCUUUUCUGUUUAUAGUAUAUGGUAACACAUAUGUAUACAUUUGUAUGUAUUUUGUAUAUUAAUGUUUUCCACCCUUUUAGU